rnacentral:rRNA from 1 species
CACUCCUACGGGAGGCAGCAGUGGGGAAUUUUGGACAAUGGGCGAAAGCCUGAUCCAGCAAUGCCGCGUGAGUGAAGAAGGCCUUCGGGUUGUAAAGCUCUUUUGUCAGGGAAGAAACGGUGAAAGCUAAUAUCUUUUGCUAAUGACGGUACCUGAAGAAUAAGCACCGGCUAACUACGUGCCAGCAGCCGCGGUAAUACGUAGGGUGCAAGCGUUAAUCGGAAUUACUGGGCGUAAAGCGUGCGCAGGCGGUUUUGUAAGUCUGAUGUGAAAUCCCCGGGCUCAACCUGGGAAUUGCAUUGGAGACUGCAAGGCUAGAAUCUGGCAGAGGGGGGUAGAAUUCCACGUGUAGCAGUGAAAUGCGUAGAUAUGUGGAGGAACACCGAUGGCGAAGGCAGCCCCCUGGGUCAAGAUUGACGCUCAUGCACGAAAGCGUGGGGAGCAAACAGGAUUAGAUACCCCGGUAGUCCCAUG